GGGAUUGCCUCAGUAACGGCGAGUGAAGCGGCAACAGCUCAAAUUUGAAAUCUGGCUCCUUCGGGGUCCGAAUUGUAAUUUGUAGAGAGUGCUUCGGGCGAGACCUCGGUCUAAGUCCAUUGGAACAUGGUGUCAUAGAGGGUGAGAAUCCCGUAUGCGACCGUGGCUCGAGCCCAUGUGAAGCCUCUUCGACGAGUCGAGUUGUUUGGGAAUGCAGCUCAAAAUGGGUGGUAAAUUUCAUCUAAAGCUAAAUACUGGCUGGAGACCGAUAGCGCACAAGUAGAGUGAUCGAAAGAUGAAAAGCACUUUGGAAAGAGAGUCAAACAGUACGUGAAAUUGUUGAAAGGGAAGCGCUUGCAACCAGACCUGCCCGUAGGCGAUCAGCCGCUGUUCUCAGCGGUGUACUCGCUCUGCGAUCAGGCCAGCAUCGGUUUCGGCGGUCGGAUAAAGACCUUGGGAAUGUAGCUUCCCUUCGGGGAAGUCUUAUAGCCCUCGGUGUAAUGCGGCCAGCCGGGACCGAGGACCGCGCUUCGGCUAGGAUGCUGGCGUAAUGGUUGUAAGCGACCCGUCUUGAAACACGGACCAAGGAGUCUAACAUCUAUGCGAGUGUUUGGGUGUCAAACCCAUACGCGGAAUGAAAGUGAACGGAGGUGAGAACCCUUAAGGGCGCAUCAUCGACCGAUCCAGAUGUCUUCGGAUGGAUUUGAGUAUGAGCAUAGCUGUUGGGACCCGAAAGAUGGUGAACUAUGCCUGAAUAGGGUGAAGCCAGAGGAAACUCUGGUGGAGGCUCGCAGCGGUUCUGACGUGCAAAUCGAUCGUCAAAUUUGGGUAUAGGGGCGAAAGACUAAUCG
rnacentral:rRNA from 2 species